rnacentral:rRNA from 1 species
AACGAACGCUGGCGGCAUGCCUAACACAUGCAAGUCGAACGAGAUCUUCGGGUCUAGUGGCGCACGGGUGCGUAACGCGUGGGAAUCUGCCCUUUGGUUCGGAAUAACAGUUGGAAACGACUGCUAAUACCGGAUGAUGACGAAAGUCCAAAGAUUUAUCGCCAGAGGAUGAGCCCGCGUAGGAUUAGCUAGUUGGUAUGGUAAAGGCGCACCAAGGCGACGAUCCUUAGCUGGUCUGAGAGGAUGAUCAGCCACACUGGGACUGAGACACGGCCCAGACUCCUAAGGGAGGAGGCAGUGGGGAAUAGUGGAGAAUGGGCGAAAGCCUGAUCCAGCAAUGCCGCGUGAGUGAUGAAGGCCUUAGGGUUGUAAAGCUCUUUUACCCGGGAUGAUAAUGACGGUACCGGGAGAAUAAGCUCCGGCUAACUCCGUGCCAGCCGCCGCCGUAA